rnacentral:rRNA from 1 species
ACUAUGAUUCCCUUAGUAACGGCGAGUGAACAGGGAGAAGCCCAAAUUUGUAAUCUGGCACUUUUUACAAGUGUCCGAGUUGUAAUUUGUAGAACUGUUAUCCGUCCUGGACCAUGUACAAGUCUGUUGAAAAGCAGCAUCAUUGAAGGUGAAAAUCCUGUAGAUGAUAUGGACUACCAGUACUUUUGUGAUACGGUUUCUAAGAGUCGAGUUGUUUGGGAAUGCAGCUCAAAGUGGGUGGUAAAUUCCAUCUAAGGCUAAAUAUAAGUGAGAGACCGAUAGCAAACAAGUACCGUGAGGGAAAGAUGAAAAGAACUUUGAAAAUAGAGUUAACAGUACGUGAAAUUGCUGAAAGGUAAACGUUUGAAGUUAGUUUUGUAUUCGUUAGAUCAGCUUCGCAAGGAGUGUAUUCUGAUGAUAAGCAAGUCAACAUCAGUCUAUGAGUGUCGGAGAAGGGUUUUGAGAAUGUAGCAAUUUAAUUGUGUUAUAGCUUGAGACUUGGAUACGAUGCUUUGGAUUGAGGAACGCGUAGUAAGCUUUGAGCGGAUUCGAAAGGAUCUCCUUACUAUGGAUGUUGGUGAAAUAACUUUAAGCGACC